UUAACUUGUUGAUAAUAAAAUUUGUUCUCUGAAGAAGUAUACUAGAAACAUCCUGAUUUGGGGUUAUAAUUAAAAAUGAAAACAAAACAGCCUCCCUUAAAACAAAACUUUUAAUUCAAACUUACUAGAUAGUUGAUAAUAAAAAUGAAAAUGCUGGCAUGUAUAGAUAUUGGGAAGUCUUGGAAUUUGGAUAUCACUGACCAUCUGG
rnacentral:lncRNA from 1 species